rnacentral:rRNA from 1 species
UACGGAGGGUGCGAGCGUUGUCCGGAAUCACUGGGCGUAAAGGGCGCGUAGGCGGCGCGAUAAGGCGGCGGUGAAAGUCCGGGGCUCAACCCCGGAUCGGCCGUGGCGACUGUCGCGCUGGAGCACAGUAGAGGCGGGUGGAAUUCCGGGUGUAGCGGUGGAAUGCGUAGAGAUCCGGAAGAACACCGGUGGCGAAGGCGGCCCGCUGGGCUGACACUGACGCUGAGGCGCGAAAGCUAGGGGAGCGAACGGG